rnacentral:rRNA from 1 species
GACGGAGGGUGCAAGCGUUGUUCGGAAUUACUGGGCGUAAAGGGCUCGUAGGCGGCCAACUAAGUCGGAUGUGAAAUCCCCAGGCUCAACUUGGGAACUGCAUCCGAUACUGGAUGGCUUGAAUUCGGGAGAGGGAUGCAGAAUUCCAGGUGUAGCGGUGAAAUGCGUAGAUAUCUGGAGGAAUACCGGUGGCGAAGGCGGCAUCCUGGACCGACAUUGACGCUGAGGAGCGAAAGCUAGGGGAGCAAACGGGG